CUAAGGUCCCUAAGUAUAGUCUAAGUGGGAAAGGAAGUGGGAAUGCCAAAACAGCUAGCAGGUUGGCUUAGAAGCAGCCAUCCUUUAAAGAGUGCGUAACAGCUUACUAGUCGAGGAUUUCCGCACCGAAAAUUUAACGGGGCUAAGACUAUCACCGAAGCCGCGAUUCUCCGAUUAAUCGGAGGAGGUAGCGGAGCGUUGCCAAUGCACCGAAGCUCAGACGUGAGUCUGGGUGGAGCGUUGGGAAGUGAGAAUGCCGGCAUGAGUAGCGUCAAUCAUGGUGAGAAUCCAUGACACCGAAAACCCAAGGUUUCCUACGCAACGUUGUUCGACGUAGGGUAAGUCGGGCCUAAGCCGUAGCGCAAAGCAAAGGCGAUGGACAACGGGUCAAAAUUCCCGUACCACCGAUAUUUCGUUUUAAGGCAAAGGGGGGACACGGAAAGGUAGAUAUAGCGCGCCUAUUGGACAUGGUGCGUUUGCUUCUGAAGGUCAUGGCGAGACAGGCAAAUCCGUUUCGUCGUUAAGAACUGAGGGAAGUGAAAACUAUAGGGCGCAAGCCCUGUUGAAUUAUAUUGAUCCUAUGCCGUCAGGAAAAGCCUCGUUGCUAGACAUAUAGGUGACCGUACCGCAAACCGACACAGGUGGGUAGGGGUAAAUGCCCCAAGGUGUUCGAGAGAACCUUCGUUAAGGAAUUCGACAAACUAGCUCUGUAACUUCGGGAUAAAGAGUGCCCGUGGAGUGAUUAUCACACGCUGAUAUGAGCUCUUUCGGGUCGCAGUGAAUAGGCUCAGGCGACUGUUUACCAAAAACACAGGUCUCUGCUAAUACGAAAGUAGAUGUAUAGGGGCUGACGCCUGCCCAGUGCUGGAAGGUUAUGGGGAAAGGUUAGCUUCCGUUCGCGGAAGCGAAGCUUUGAACCGAAGCCCCAGUGAACGGCGGCCGUAACUAUAACGGUCCUAAGGUAGCGAAAUCCCUUGUCGGGUAAGUUCCGACCCGCACGAAUGGCGUAACGAUCUGAGCGUUGUCUCAACGAAGGACUCGGUGAAAUUGCAUGGCCGGUAAAGAUGCCGGCUACCCGCAACAGGACAAAAAGACCCCGUGGAGCUUUACUGUAGCUUGGUAAUGGAUUGUGUUUAUUAAUGUGUAGGAUAGGCGGGAGACUUUGAAACAUCAGCGCUAGCUGGUGUGGAGUCAACCUUGAAAUACCGCUCUUUACUAAAUUUGAUUCUAACCUCGUAGAAAACGAGGGACAUUGCCAGGUGGGCAGUUUGACUGGGGCGGUCGCCUCCUAAAGAGUAACGGAGGCGUCCAAAGGUUCCCUCAAGGUGGAUUGGAAAUCAUCUUUAGAGUGCAUUGGCAUAAGGGAGCUUGACUGUGAGACAUACAAGUCGAGCAGGGACGAAAGUCGGGCAAAGUGAUCC
rnacentral:rRNA from 1 species